CCUACGGGUGGCAGCAGUGAGGAAUAUUGGUCAAUGGACGAGAGUCUGAACCAGCCAAGUAGCGUGAAGGAUGACUGCCCUAUGGGUUGUAAACUUCUUUUAUAAAGGAAUAAAACGAGGCACGUGUGCCUUUUUGCAUGUACUUUAUGAAUAAGGAUCGGCUAACUCCGUGCCAGCAGCCGCGGUAAUACGGAGGAUCCGAGCUUUAUCCGGAUUUAUUGGGUUUAAAGGGAGCGUAGAGGGGUUGUUAAGUCAGUUGUGAAAGUUUGGGGCUCAACCGUAAAAUUGCAAUUGAUACUGGCAGUCUAGAGUACAGAUGAGGUAGGCGGAAUACGUGGUGUAGCGGUGAAAUGCAUAGAUAUAACGCAGAACCCCGAUUGCGAAGGCAGCUUACUAAACUGUGACUGACAUUGAUGCACGAAAGUGUGGGUAGCAAACAGGAUUAGAUACCCGAGUAGUC
rnacentral:rRNA from 1 species